rnacentral:tRNA from 1 species
GGCUAUGGCUCAGUGGUAGGGCAUCUGUUUGGCAUGCAGAAGGUCCCAGGUUCAAUCCCUAGCAUCUCCA